UACGAAGGGGACUAGCGUUGUUCGGAAUCACUGGGCGUAAAGCGCACGUAGGCGGAUGUGUCAGUCAGGGGUGAAAUCCCGGAGCUCAACUUCGGAACUGCCUUUGAUACAGCACGUCUUGAGUCCGAUAGAGGUGGGUGGAAUUCCUAGUGUAGAGGUGAAAUUCGUAGAUAUUAGGAAGAACACCGGUGGCGAAGGCGGGCUACUCGUG
rnacentral:rRNA from 1 species